GACAGAGGCCUCAAGCGUUAGGCGGAAUCACUGGGCUUAAAGCGUGUGUAGGCGGAUCGUUAAGUGUCUUGUGAAAUCCCACGGCUCACCCGUGGAACUGCUGGGCAUACUGGCGAUCUUGGGCCAACUAGGGGCAACUGGAACAAGCGGUGGAGCGGUGAAAUGCGUAGAGAUCCGGAGGAACACCAGUGGCGAAGGCGACGUCCUGGGCUUGACCUGACGCUGAGACGCGACAGCACGGGGAGCGAACGGG
rnacentral:rRNA from 1 species